ACUUGGUGAUGUGGGCAUUUGCAUAAGAGGUCCCUAAAGCACUCCCAAGUCUUAAAAAAUUGUUCUCCAUUCACUUGUGAGAAACUAGUGAUGACCUCCUCAGCU